rnacentral:lncRNA from 1 species
AAAUUGUUCACUUUUGACAUAAUUGUUUUCCUAGUAGGUGCAAGUUAUGUUCUCAGAAAUAUCCCACAAUAAAUAAAAAGGAAAACUUUUACUGUUCAUUGAUUUGUUUUAUGUAAGUUCUUAAGCACGCAAAGAAUUAAAACACCAGUGCCUGUACUGGACACCGGACUAAGUCCCAUGAAUGAGAUAUGCUCCUCAAGGCAAUUCAAUUUUUAUCCUACAAGCAAUGCCCUCCCUUCCCUUCCUCACACUCUACAAAAGCAGAUGAUAGCAAUGCUACU